AAUUAGUGUUUGGUUUCCCAUAUUAAUAAUUUCAAAUAUUAUUAAUAAUUCCAACACAUGGCAAAAGGGCAGGAGCUGGACUCCCAGGGAGGGAGUCUGAGAGGCAUUUAAGUGAGAGGGAUGUAAAGGCAGACCCAAGGAAGUCAGAAGUGGGCUUUUGUUUAUAUUUUUAUGCUGGGAUUUUGUUAGCGGAUUCCAGGGGAGGAUCUUGAGAGAGUUUAAAGAGGCUGUGAGGGGAAGGACUGAGAGACUGAGUAGGAAGAAACCCAGGGAAGCAGUAGCAAAGAGUUGGACUGAGCAUUACUUCGCUGCUGGUUAUAGGGUCACUGGGCUGAAACCUGGUUGUAGUGAGAGGGCCCGGGUUUCCCUACCAGCAGUUGUAUGGUGGUGUGAGGCUGGAGAAGGGCACAAGGAUGACAGCCCUCAGAAAAGGGAGUCAGGACCAUGGGGCCCAGAGUCCUGGCCAAAGAUCUGAUAGAAGGUAUUAGACAUUGUUUCACUGGAAUUCUUGUUACGCUGAAAAGAGCGGAUUAAAUUGUGACCUGGCCAGAGGGCCAACUCAUAGGAAGGUGGACCACUGGAAGACCAGAGCAGCCAUCCGAAUGGGGUGCUGCUGGAAAGGGAGAGAGUUGCUACACCACCUCUGGCCAUCAGAAGGCACUGCAGCAGUAAGUCCACUCCUUUACAGUGAGAAUAAGGACAUUGAAAAGAAACUAAAUGAUUUAUUUGUAUUGGGUUUUCACUGCAAAGGAUGUUGUGGAGAUUAAUAAUCUUUUCGGGUAAUACAGUUUAGGCACUGUCAGACUAAGGUGUCAAAAAUUAGGUGCAAGAAUAAAGUAAUAAAGAUCAAUAAGUCACCAGGACCUGAUGGUAUUAAUUUGAGAAUUCUGAGGAAUUAAUUGGCUGAGCAGCUAACAAAAAUAUGAAAUCUCAUUAAAAUCAGCUACUAUUCCAAAAGGUUGGAAGCUAGCAAACGUUGUAUAUGCCAUAUGAUUUUCAAAAUUCACUAGGAAUGAUCCUGGCACUUAUAGAUCCAUGAUCCAUACUUCAGUAAAAGAGAAAUUGGUUGAAGAAAUGAUUAGAUUUUAAAAAAGGACAUACCAGCAUGGCUCUGUAAAAGAAAAUCUCUCUAGCCUACUAGAAUUGUUUUGACAAUGUCAACAAAAUAGUGGAUGAAGGAGAAGACAAAGAGUUGGCAUAAUUUAUUUGGACUUUCAAUAAGCUUUUGAAAAAGUUCCUAACAAGAUGCUAUUAGGCAAACUAAGAAGUCAUGGGUUUGGAUGUAAAGUUUUGCCAUAGAUUAGUAACUGGCUAAGAAAAAGAAAAGAGUAUAAAUAAAUGGUCCAUUUUCAAUAUUGUGAGUGGCUAACAUUAGGGUUCCUAAAAAUCUGCUCUGGGGCUGGUUUUAAUGCGUUAAUAAAUGAUCUGUAAAUGAAAGUAAGGCGGCUAAGUUUAUAGGUGACAAAGAUUAUUAAUGUUUUUCAAGAUUAGGGAAGAUUGUGAGGAACUCCAAAGGGGCCUAAUAAAUCAGGUGAAUGGGCAGCAUGAUGGCAGCUGUAAUUCAGUAUUGACAAAUGGAAGGUAAAGUUAGUUGCCAGGAAUGACUUUGAACUACUUAGAUAUAUUUCUGAGUUUUAAAUUAACUGUAAUCACUCAUGAAAAAGAUAUGAGUGUCACUGUGGAUAGCUCAUUGAAAACCUCCUCCCAAUGUGCAGUGAUUAAACCCAUCCCCCACCAAUGUUAAGUUUUCUCUUAGUUGUGCUGAAAGGCAGCAAAAGUGAAAGUUCACUAAAUUGUAUUUUCUGGCCAAAAUCGUAUUAAGCAACCAUCAGUUUUAAUUGCCAAAAUAAUUUGGAGCCACUUUAUAUUAAGCAAUAUUAAUAAGUUUCCUUGUAUAAGAUUUAAAAUGUUUUUAUAAAGUAAUAAAGACCUAUUUGAAAUACUUUUUCAGAAGGGUUGAGGUAGGUUUUUAAAGUACGAACAUAGCUAAAAACAGAUCAAGCCAUUUUUAGUUUCAGUUCUGUUUUCUUUAGGUGAGCUGUAAGAUGAGCUGUUUCCCUAAUUGCAAUACAUUGACUCUACCAUUUGGAGGAGCCUGUGCCACAGAAUGAUAAACUGAAGUUAUCAGGCAAAGAAGAGUCUUCACUUGUGAAACAGUCGGAACACAACCCAGAGGUCCUUGGUCAGUUCAGGUAAAUGCUAGAUCCUGAUUAGAUUUAUUAUGUUUUUAGCAUAUUAAAGUUUAACAUGAGUUAGUGUGACUUUUUGGGCUUUGUGCUGGUUAGUUGAACACCAACUAUUCUUCAAAUGAAGUGCCACUCACAUUUUGUCAGUAGAAUGCAUAGUUGCUGAAUACUUGAGGAGGAAAUUGUAGCAUUAGAAAAUUAGUUCAGCGACACUUCAAGCCAUCACGCUUUUUGAAAGAGAUGGAGUUUAUCAUCUUUUUGUAAUGAGACAAUUCUGCUUUUUGGUCAUGACAAGCUGCAGGCUGUACUUGGCGGAGACCUCACCACUACCAUGCAUGCUACUGUGGAUGUCUCCGAGGAGCCUAAGCCACGGGCCCCUGCCAUGAACUGGAAGGAGGACAAGCAGAGAGAGGUGACAUGCAGGCAGGGCCGGCUCCAGGCACCAGGCAAACAAGCACAUGCUUGGGGCGGCACCUGGAGCUGUUGCUGUUAUGGGGCCCCUCCACACCCACAGAACACUUGACCCUGAUGAGGAGAAAGAAGAGGAUUAGAGAGGACAUACGGAAUGAAGUCCUGCAAGCUGGUGCUGCAUCAGACCGUGAACAAAGGGCCUGGAGGGCUGAUGGUAUGGAGAGGGGAAAAGUGGACAGAAGAAAUGCCAGCAGGGAGAGGGGGAGAUACACCAAGACUUAAUAGGAGCAAAUUUAAAUGCUGCAGACCCUGGUUGACCAACAGGUCCAAAUAUCCCAGACUCACCUUUGCAGACCUUGGAGAACUCCAUGGCAGCAGCUCCCUAUACCCCCCCCCAACAUACCACGUGGCAUCCUGGGCUACAUCCCUAUCCUUACCACUCCACAGGGGGACACAGCAAGGAAAACCACAGCUUCACACAUACACUGCCCCAUGAGAACCACGGCAGGUGUAUGUGUAGCCACAAUGGACUACAUUUGUACACUCAGAUGGGCAAAAAUGUCAAGCCUAGUGGUUGGAGCAGGAGUUGGUAGCCAGGAAUAGGAGCCCAGGGUCAGAGAUGGAGUCACAGGCCAGAUGCCAGAGAUGGAGUCAUAAGUUAGGAAUUUGAGCCAAGGGUCAGAACUGAGUUACCUGGAGUGAGGCAAGACAGGGGCAAGGCUGGGCACAAGGCAGGAGCAGGAGCUAUCUCAGCCAUGGGCGAAUGCUUUGAGGAGCUGCCAAAAUACUGCUGCUGCUGGUCUUAAGGCUUGAUCCGGUGACUCUUCCCACCAAUCAGGCAGUGUGGCCACUGGGCAGCCUACUGCAUGCCAGCUGCAUUUGUUACGUUGCUCGGAGACUGGUUCUGCUGCAGACCCUGAUUCCUGACAACACCAGUGAUAUGAGUUAACCAAAGUUUGUAGUGUAGACAUGGCCUUAGUCUUUUAAGUUGCUGUAAUUCUGUAGCUGAACAACACCCUUCUUUUCUCAGUGCUAGUCUUCCAUUCUGUUUGGCUGCAGACUGGACAUGAUGGCAAUGUAUCUGUUUAGUUUUUUUUAAAGCUGUCUUUGCAAAACAAAGGGCUAUAUACACUGUCAUCCUCCCCCCUUCCCCUGUUCCCAACUCUGCAAGAAAGCUCAGAUUCUGAAGAACAGCAAAAAUCUAUGAAAGACCUCAAAUUUGCAAUUUCCAUGGCACGGAUGUGUCUUGUCUGUAAUGAUGAUGGUCAUAAAAGCCGGGGCUCUGAAAUAAAAGUGAUAAUUUCUAUCUCAGUUGUUACCUUUUCUUGUUAGUGUUCUGCAACAUGAUUAUGGUGAAUGGUGUUGUUUCAAAUAAAAAUUAUCGACUGCUA